UUCCGCUUCCCGUUCCGGGAUCCAGCUUGUUGGAAAGCUUUGCGGUGCGGGCGAGUACCCUGGGCCCAUUUCUGGGGUCUAGGGGUCGCCUGAGUCUGCUGUUGCAGCCAUGGCGGCCUCCACCGCGGCCGGGAAGCAGAGGAUCCCCAAAGUGGCCAAGGUGAAAAACAAAGCCCCAGCUGAGGUGCAGAUAACUGCAGAGCAACUGCUAAGAGAAGCUAAGGAAAGAGAACUUGAGCUUCUUCCACCUCCCCCUCAACAGAAGAUCACAGAUGAAGAAGAGUUAAAUGAUUACAAACUAAGGAAGAGGAAGACUUUUGAAGAUAACAUAAGAAAAAACAGGACUGUGAUUAGUAACUGGAUAAAAUAUGCACAAUGGGAAGAGAGUCUAAAGGAGAUUCAAAGGGCUCGAUCCAUAUACGAACGUGCUUUGGAUGUGGACUAUCGAAAUAUUACACUCUGGCUGAAAUAUGCAGAAAUGGAAAUGAAGAAUCGCCAGGUCAACCAUGCCCGAAAUAUCUGGGACCGGGCCAUAACGACUCUGCCUCGCGUCAACCAGUUCUGGUACAAGUACACGUACAUGGAGGAGAUGCUGGGGAACAUGGCGGGUGCCCGGCAGGUGUUCGAGCGCUGGAUGGAGUGGCAGCCAGAGGAGCAGGCCUGGCACUCCUACAUCAACUUCGAGCUGAGAUACAAAGAGGUGGAUCGGGCCCGCACCAUUUAUGAACGCUUUGUUCUUGUGCACCCUGAUGUGAAGAACUGGAUCAAGUACGCCCGCUUUGAAGAAAAGCAUGGUUACUUUGCCCAUGCGCGGAAGGUGUAUGAGAGAGCUGUCGAAUUCUUUGGGGAUGAACAUAUGGAUGAACACCUUUAUGUUGCCUUUGCCAAAUUUGAGGAAAAUCAGAAAGAAUUUGAGAGGGUACGAGUGAUCUAUAAGUACGCCCUGGAUCGAAUUUCAAAGCAGGAAGCCCAGGAACUCUUUAAAAAUUACACCAUCUUUGAGAAGAAGUUUGGUGACAGGCGGGGCAUUGAAGACAUCAUCGUGAGCAAACGGAGGUUCCAGUACGAGGAGGAGGUGAAGGCUAACCCGCACAACUACGAUGCAUGGUUCGAUUACUUGCGCUUGGUUGAAAGCGACGCAGAGGCAGAGACGGUGCGGGAAGUCUACGAGCGAGCCAUCGCCAACGUGCCGCCUGUGCAGGAGAAGAGGCACUGGAAGCGCUACAUCUACCUGUGGAUCAACUACGCCCUCUACGAGGAGCUGGAGGCGAAGGAUCCGGAGAGGACAAGACAAGUUUACCAAGCCUCUUUGGAACUCAUUCCUCAUAAAAAGUUCACAUUUGCCAAAAUGUGGUUACUGUAUGCACAGUUUGAAAUAAGACAGAAAAAUUUACCAUUUGCCAGAAGAGCUUUGGGAACUUCCAUAGGCAAGUGUCCGAAGAACAAGUUAUUUAAAGGUUACAUAGAACUGGAGCUACAGCUUCGAGAAUUUGACAGAUGCCGGAAGCUUUAUGAAAAGUUCCUGGAAUUUGGGCCUGAAAAUUGUACCUCUUGGAUUAAAUUUGCAGAAUUAGAGACAAUCCUUGGCGAUAUCGAGAGAGCCCGGGCCAUCUACGAGUUAGCCAUCAGUCAGCCACGCUUGGACAUGCCGGAGGUGCUUUGGAAAUCAUAUAUUGAUUUUGAAAUUGAGCAGGAAGAAACUGAAAGAACACGAAAUCUUUACCGACGAUUGCUUCAACGGACACAACAUGUCAAGGUAUGGAUCAGUUUUGCACAGUUUGAGUUGUCCUCAGGGAAGGAAGGAAGUUUGGCUAAAUGCAGACAAAUUUAUGAAGAGGCUAACAAAACCAUGCGGAACUGUGAAGAAAAGGAAGAGAGACUUAUGUUGCUGGAAUCUUGGCGAAGCUUUGAAGAUGAAUUUGGAACAGUAUCAGAUAAGGAGAGAGUAGACCAACUCAUGCCAGAGAAAGUCAAGAAGAGAAGAAAGGUCCAAGCUGAUGAUGGGUCGGAUGCAGGCUGGGAAGAAUACUAUGAUUACAUCUUUCCGGAAGAUGCUGCCAACCAGCCCAACCUCAAGCUCCUGGCCAUGGCCAAACUGUGGAAGAAACAGCAGCAGGAGAAGGAGCCUGGCGAGGAAGACCCAGAUGCGGACGCUGCCGAGCAGGAGUCCGGGCCUUCCUGUUCCUGUUGAGAGAUGUUUUAUUAUUUUUAUAGAUGUAUAGUUUGGAACUCUUGCAACUCCUGUAAGUUUUUGGAUAUUUCACCAGUGAUGAAUCGAUGGGAAUCUUUGGCAGCUACUUUUGAAUUAUUUUUAAAAGGUUCUUGGGUUAGUUACGGGUGGGUUGCAAGUAAAGGAAUCUUUUUAACUGUUGGAUUUCUUUGAGUCUCAACAUUUUGUGUUGUCCUAAUGCAUCAUGCAUUAGGAAAUCCUUAAGGUAACACUUAGCGUGUCUUUUAGAUCGAACUGCAAAAUUUUGAAAGAGUCUUUUUUUAGAAGUUCUCAGUCACAUCUCACAGUAACUUUUCAGGUGAAGUUUUCUCAUGCUUGCCUUCUUCAUAAAGAUGUUUUAUGCAUUCAUCUGAAUCCUGUAACUUAUUUACAUCUUAAGAGUCACACUGACUUGAGUUCCAUUCCCAGCUCUGCCACUUGGUGAUACAUAACGUUUAUUUUCAGUUUCUUCACUCAUAAAAUGGGCUUUUGCCAGCUCAUUUUGAAGAUUAAAUUAGAAAGGGAGUAUUCCUGGCACAGAGUAAGUGCUCAAUAAAAUGUUCAUUCCUGGCCACUUUCUUAAAUAACGUUCAUUCCUUGUGGAAUUGAAUGUGCUUAGAUUAACUUCUAAAUAGCUAUACCUUCUUAAUGGCCAUUUAUACUAAGUGUUUUUGAAAACACCAGUUAGAAAAUAAUUUACAGUUACUGUAUUACUGAACAAGGUCUUUUUUUUUUACCAAAAACAUUUUAGUUGAAUUUCAGUUAUGCUGUAAUCAGUCUCCCAAACUAGUUGAGCUCUGCAGUGGCUUGUUUAAAGAAUAGUAAUGCAAGAGCGGUGAAAAACAAUGUCCCAUGCUCCAGUGAGUUUGGGAAACCCUAGGUUAAGGGUUAAGCCUUGUUGACAAAUCUCUUCAUAGUUAGGCUUCUCAGGGCCCUUGAUAACACUCCCUAUACAUUGUGAAUCCCCAGGUGCAAUGCUGGCUGUGCUUCCCAAACUUAAUGGACAAGGGAAUCAUCUCUACCUAGAGCACCAGUAAAUGUUGCCCGGCGUGCUGCAGUAGACUGUCUACCUGUAAGACCUGACACGUUCAACUUAGCCUCGAUUUAGAACGUGAAAAACAGCUGAGGCAGGAUUUAAGCAAAGCACUGUGAGACUAGACAAAGAAAAGACCUGAGACCAGCAGUAUGGAAACAAGUAUCUGGGAAGAACUUUGCAAUAAGAAGGACGCUUAAGUGUGCUGGGCAGGGACUGUCCAAGUAAGCAAUUAAACAAUGCUUUGUAUAUAAAUGAAAAAUGUAAGGGAAACAACAUACCCUAAAUGAUGACCUUCUUCAAUCCUGAUAACCUGACGUUUAUAAAUGACCAAAAACCUUCCAGAAAACACUCGAGUCAACAGUGCAUUUUAUUAUACAUCUUAGAUUUACACAUUCCAUAUAUGCUUUUAAAGCUUCAAUUAACAGUUCAAUACAAAAUAAAAAAUAUAUAUGCAGCAGUGGUUCUCAGGCACAGAAUUGAGGAGGAGAUUGGAGCAAGCUUUUUCCCUAGCAUACCAUGAAUAUUACAUUAUGAACCAUAACAGUGGAAUGUUUCCUUUUGACCUAGCUGCCUUUUUUGGCUGAAUUUUAUUACAGUGGACAGCUUUAGAAGGUAUGAUAUUGCUAAUAGGAAACAAGACAAGUUUAUAACCUGUUUUUUUCUUGAAGUCUUUAAGAUCUAAACAAUUCCCUUUUCUCCUAAUAGAGCUCCAGGAUCAUCUAAUGAAAAUAAUAUUGUCCAUAAAAUAUCUGGAGCAUCAUCAGCCUAAGAACCACUGCUCAUGGUUAUUCAAUGUCUUCCGGCCUCACAGGAUGAGGUAAUGGUAUGAUGGAUUUCUUCUCAGUGUCCCUGGAAAGUGCUUUCCUCAUAUCUGUUAGGAAGCAAAGUUUAAUGUAAGUACCCAAAUGUCAGAAUAUUUUAUAUCAAAUUUAAAGUGUAUAGGUUAAGAGGUUUUGUCCCCUACCCCCACUUCUACCAUAUUCUAAGAGAAAUGUAUUUGUAAGUGAUUCUCAAUCACAAGUACACCAAACCCCAGCUGGGAUCCAGCUCUUCCUACAAAUGUUCUUUUGACAGAACCUUAGUAAAAAUGUGUCUGUACCAGUAAAACAAUAAUUGACAGUAAUUAACCAAUGGUUAGUUAAUGUAAGUUAAUCAGUGGUAGGUUCUUAAGGGUAGGUUAAAGCAGAUUUAAUUAUAGCCCAGAUUUUAAAUAUGAUUCUCUUAAGUGUAUUAAAAUAGCCGAGUAUUUCAGUCUGUAGGAUGAAUGUAGACAUUUGGCUUCCUCUCAGGGGGGAGCUCACCGUAAGCAUCCUCAUCGGGCUCCCCGUUGCUGGCCGAAUAGUACUCUAUGACUGUCCUGUACACACUGUAGCCUAACUGCUUGUACAUGUUGACUGCAACUUGGUUAGACACUCUUACAAAGAGAUCAACAAAAAAUCCACCCUUUCUGUAAUUAAAAAAAAAAAAAAAAAAUUAGAAGUCCUUGAAAAUAAUACAUAAUUUUUAAAACUACUUUGACUAUUCAUAGGAUGGUACUAUGAAACCCUGCAGUCAAUUACAUCAUGUUAUCAAUUUUUACUGCCGAGGAUUUUGCAGUACAAAAGAUAACUGUAACAUUUCAAAACCUACAGGUUUUCUUAAAAGAUAAACUUUAAAUUUUUACCACAAUUCUGUUACCUGGCUUUAAAAAUCAUUUUACCAAUUAGUCAUAUAAUAGUUUCACCCAAGGUUUUGAAGAAAGCACCAAUGUGGCCUUGUAUAACUACAGGACACUGGUCACAGCUCUGAAGCCCUUGGGUCCCUCUGGUCAGUGACAGCCCCUUUAUUACCCAGGUCUCCAUGUCCUGACUCGUGUGGUCAUCAGCGCCUUGCUUUAUGCAGUAGACUUACCACCUGUUCUGGUUUAUGUUUGUGAACAUCACCUGAAUGGAGUCAAACUUACUUUACUCUUUAGUGACUCGCCUCCCAGUCGGUACUGAGUCAGUCCCAGGGCAGCUGGAGCUUGUCCGUCCUCCCUGUGUUUAGUGUGUCCCUGUAUGGACACACUAUGAGAUGUGAGAUGUCUGUGGUCCUAUACAUUAUCAACUAUGCUGCUACGAGUAUUUUGUUGUGUGUCUUGUGGUACAUCCAGGAUAUCUAAGGUCUGCAGUUAGUGUCACUGCUGGCUCACAGGGACACCUUCAACUUUAUCAGAUAAUGCCUGUCUCCCAGCCCACAUGUGCCACCUGACACUCCCACAGGAGGGGGUAGACUCCUGAUGGCAUCUCAGGGCAAUUUUAGCUGGCAUUUCUGAUUACUAACAAGGCUGAUUAUAUUUGUGUCCACCAUUAGAUUUCUCAUUCUGUAUGGUCUUUAUUGGUCGUUCUCCCCCACAUGUAGUUCUCUAUGUAUUCUGGAUAUUCAGCCUUGUGUAAAGGAUGGUGCAAGUCUUCUCCCCAAUUUGCAAAUCUUUUUCCAAUUUGUGACUUGUCAUCAUCCUUAUGUAUCGUUUGAUGAACAAAGUUACCGCACUCUAGUGAAGUUGAAUAUAUGAUUUCCUUGCACUUUUUAGGGCUUGAGAAGUUCUUUUCUACCCUGAGGUCAUGGAGACACUCUCCUUUGAAGGGCUUUUUAGUUUUGCUCUUCACAUAUAGGUUUUUAAUAAAUAUGGAAUUGAUCUGUGCAUGAUAAGGUACUAAUGUGGGAAAAUCUUUUCCCAUAUGGAUAUCCAGUGGUGCCACCACGUUUAUUGGAAAGUGUAUCCUUCCCCACCGAUCUGCAGUUGCCUCCUCCAAGGUGUGUCUAAAGUCCAUGUGUUCCUGAGUCUGUGUCUCAAAUUCUGUUCCACUAGCCUAGACAAUUACUCCACUCACUUUUUUGCUGUUCAAGAGUGUCUUACCUCUUUUUGGCUCCUUCCAUUCCCUGUAAGUUUCAGAAUCAACAAGUUGCACGGAAAAGACUUGUGAUUUGGGUUGCAGUUACGCUGACUGUGGAUCAGUUACCUGUCUACUGUAGAGACGGCUAACUCUAUGCUGCAGCGGUAGUUCCUCCCUCCACUUAGGUAGGUCAUCUGUUCUGUCUCUGGGUAAAGUUGUAUAAACUUCAGAGAGGUCUUGCACAGCUUUUGUUAGAUUUCUCCUAAGGGCUUAAUGUACUGAUGCCAAUGCAAAUCACAUCCUCUUCUAAAUGUUACUGUUUGUAUAGAAAAGCAAUUUAAUUUAUACUAACUUUAUAUCCAACAACUUAGCUUAACUUUUAUUAAAAUUCUAAAUAUUUGUAGAUUCCUUCCUGUAGGUUUUCUAUUUGUACAAUCUUACCUAUCCAAAAUAACGGUUUUGUUUCUUCUCAAACCUUUUAUUUUUCUUGCUUGCUUCACUUGUAUGGUAGAGGAUGAUUUCCAGUAAAUUACUGAAGAGAAGCCGACUUUAGGCAUCCUGUCCUGUCCCAGAAAUCAUUCAGUGCAUCACCACUCAUAUUUACUACAGGUUUUCAGUUUUUCAGGUUAAGUAAGUUUUCCUGUUGCUAACAGUUUUUAUCAAGAGUGAACUCUGGAUUGUAUCAAAGCAUUUUCUACAUUUACUGAGAUAAAUAUUCUUCAGCCUAUUAACUGGUAGGAUACAUUCUAAUAUUAAAACAAACUUCCCCCGAUAUGUCAUCCUUUUCAUGAAUUGCUGAAUCCAUUUUCCUAAGAAUUUUCUGGGACUUUGCAUCUGUCAUGAGAUUUUCCUUCCUCUUGUCAGGUUUUGUGAUUGUUCCCUUUUUGUGUGUAAAAGUAAACUUAGUGUCAUUAUUUCUUAAAUUGUGAAAUUUGCAAAUUUGCCAGAGAAGCCAUAGCUUUCUUUGUGGAAAGAUUCUGGCUAACUGACUGAAAUUAGUUAAGGCAGGGGUCAGCUUUCAACCUAUUUUUAUGCUGCUCUCAAGCAAAGAAUGGUUUUUUACAAUUUUGAAGCAGCAAUAGAGACCUGUGGCCUGUCUCUAUUGUGAAGUGGCCUGUGAAGCCUUAACGUUUACUAUCUGGCCCAGAAAAAGUUUGUUGACCCCUGUUCUGUACCCUUAAUCAAUUUCUGGCUGUCCUAACAAUUAGGAUGAGGCAUGCUCAUAUCUCUAAUUAUGAUGAUUUGUCUAUUUCUUCUUGUAGUUUUGUCAACUGUUGCAUUUUUACUUUGAAUUUGUCACUGGCCUAGGGCACUAUGAGAAAAUGACUGAGAUGCCAAGGACAGUGUUAAGGAAGAAUUUGGAAACACCUGCUGCAGUGGCAAGAACACUAACAGAAACCUUGAGGGCUAGAUUUUGAUUCCACCAGUUACGCAGCUCAUAAGCCUAUGGCAGGUCACUCACACUGCCUUAAUUUUCCUCAGUGGCCAAACAGGAACAAUAAUAUCACUCUGAAUAUGUGACAGAAUUGGUAUAAGGACUAUUAGAGGCUGAAAAUGAAAUUCCUAUGAAACUGCAUCAUGACAGAUGUUCAAUCUGAAGGAAAAAAUCUGAUAAAACAUUCACCAAGAGAAAACUCAAAUGGUUAGAGUUCAAAAAUCAUUUGCAAAGCAGGUGCCUACCUUUCUGAAAUCUCCUCUAAUAACUCCAUAAGCUUAGCAGCCAGACCAAGGCGUCGGAAUUCCGGGGCAACAGACAGAGCUGUGACGUGCCCAUGCCACUCUUCCCUCGCCACCGAGCCUUCUGCUUUGCCCAUGACUGCCAAUGAAAGAUCACAUCCAGUAACUAACACGAGGAUUUACACAUACAGAAAUGCUGUUUAGUACAUUUUUAUUAUAAAGGAAACUAAUGACCAAGUUCUGAUCUUUAAGCAAUACUUAAAAGUCAUCUAGCUAAUUGUUAUUAAUGCUUUUACUUGAUAAGUAUUUUUUUAAAUAUCUACAUUUCAUGUGGGUAUGUAUGUGUGUCAUGUACACAUAACAGACAAUCUACAGCUCAAAUUUUUGUUAGCAAUGCAACCAAGUCUGGGUCACUGCUCUAUCCCCUGGGCCUAGCAUAGUACCUAAAAUAGAACGGAUCAGAAGGGAUCAGUGAGCUGUGAAAUGGUUGAAAAGGAAAUAAAAUUAUGGGCAUCAC